rnacentral:rRNA from 1 species
AUUGAACGCUGGCGGAAUGCUUUACACAUGCAAGUCGAACGGCAGCACGGGGCAACCUGGUGGCGAGUGGCGAACGGGUGAGUAAUAUAUCGGAACGUGCCCAAUCGUGGGGGAUAACGUAGCGAAAGUUACGCUAAUACCGCAUACGAUCUACGGAUGAAAGCGGGGGAUCGCAAGACCUCGCGCGAAUGGAGCGGCCGAUAUCAGAUUAGGUAGUUGGUGGGGUAAAGGCUCACCAAGCCAACGAUCUGUAGCUGGUCUGAGAGGACGACCAGCCACACUGGAACUGAGACACGGUCCAGACUCCUACGGGAGGCAGCAGUGGGGAAUUUUGGACAAUGGGCGCAAGCCUGAUCCAGCCAUUCCGCGUGCAGGAUGAAGGCCUCGGUUGUAACUGCUUUGUUACGGAACGGAACGGUCUGCCCUAAUACGGCAGGCUAAUGACGGUACCGUAAGAAUAAGACACCGGCUAACUACGUAGCCAGCAG